UACGGGGGGUGCGAGCGUUGUCCGGAAUCACUGGGCGUAAAGGGCGCGUAGGUGGCCCGUUAAGUGGCUGGUGAAAUCCCGCGGCUCAACUGCGGGGCUGCCGGUCAUACUGGCGAGCUAGAGCACGGUAGGGGCAGAUGGAAUUCCCGGUGUAGCGGUGGAAUGCGUAGAGAUCGGGAAGAAUACCAGUGGCGAAGGCGUUCUGCUGGGCCGUUGCUGACACUGAGGCGCGACAGCGUGGGGAGCAAACAGG
rnacentral:rRNA from 1 species